GUUUGAUUCUGGCUCAGGAUGAACGCUGGCGGCAUGCCUAAUACAUGCAAGUCGAACGGAGUGAAGCCUUCGGGUUUCAUUCAGUGGCGAACGGGUGAGUAAUACGCAGGGAACCUGGCCAUGGCAGGGGGAUACACUCUGGAAACGGAGCAUAAGACCCCAUAGGCAGUAAGGCGGCAUCGCCUUACUGUUAAAGAAAGCUGAAAGGCUUUGGCGAUGGAUGGACCUGCGGUGCAUUAGCUUGUUGGUGAGGCAACGGCUUACCAAGGCGAUGAUGCAUAGCCGGCCUGAGAGGGCGGACGGCCACACUGGGACUGAGACACGGCCCAGACUCCUGCGGGAGGCAGCAGUAGGGAAUUUUCGUCAAUGGGCGCAAGCCUGAACGAGCAAUGCCGCGUGAGUGAGGAAGGUCUUCGGACUGUAAAGCUCUGUUGCCGGGGAAAAAGGGGAAAUGCAGGAAAUGGCAUUUCAUGGAUGGUACCCGGCCAGAAAGCCACGGCUAACUACGUGCCAGCAGCCGCGGUAAUACGUAGGUGGCGAGCGUUAUCCGGAAUGAUUGGGCGUAAAGGGUGCGCAGGCGGUCUGUUAAGUCUGAAGGCAAAGGGAUGAGCUCAACUCAUUUAUGAUUCAGAAACUGGCAGACUUGAGGACAGGAGAGGGCGGUGGAACUCCAUGUGUAGCGGUAAAAUGCGCAGAGAUAUGGAAGAACACCAGUGGCGAAGGCGGCCGCCUGGCCUGUGACUGACGCUGAGGCACGAAAGCGUGGGGAGCAAAUAGGAUUAGAUACCCUAGUAGUCCACGCCGUAAACGAUGAGGAGCAGGUGUUGGGAGUGAAAUCUCAGUGCCGAAGCCAACGCAGUGACUCCUCCGCCUGGGGAGUAUGCACGCAAGUGUGAAACUCAAAGGAAUUGACGGGGGCCCGCACAAGCGGUGGAGUAUGUGGUUUAAUUCGAAGCAACGCGAAGAACCUUACCAGGUUUUGACAUCGGAUGCGAAGGCGCAGAGAUGCGCUGGAGGCUAUCAUCCAGACAGGUGGUGCAUGGUUGUCGUCAGCUCGUGUCGUGAGAUGUUCAGUUAAGUCUGGCAACGAGCGCAACCCCCGUGGUAUGUUACUAACGCAUUUGGGCGAGGACUCAUAUCAGACUGCCGGUGACAAACCGGAGGAAGGCGGGGAUGACGUCAAAUCAUCAUGCCCCUUAUGACCUGGGCUACACACGUACUACAAUGGCGUCUACAGAGGGAAGCGACCCUGAGAAGGGAAGCGAAACCGGAAAAGGGCGUCCCAGUUCGGAUUGAAGUCUGCAACCCGACUUCAUGAAGAUGGAAUCGCUAGUAAUCGCGGAUCAGCAUGCCGCGGUGAAUACGUUCCCGGGCCUUGUACACACCGCCCGUCAAACCAUGGAAGCCGGCAACGCCCGAAGCCGGUGGCAUAACCUUUUAGGAGUGAGCCGUCGAAGGCGGGGCCGAUGACUGGGGUUAAGUCGUAAAAAGGUAGCC
rnacentral:rRNA from 1 species